CACUUACAUCGAUGUAAAACUUAAAUAAUUUUACAUCAUUCCAUAACUUUAUAUACAAUUAAUACUUUAUCAAUCCAACAUCAUAAGUUAGAGUUAUCCAUAUGAAAAGUGUUUCAUUGAUUCAAAUUGGACGCCAUCUCGUAAAGGUGAUUGUAUGAACCAGCAAAACUAAGCUUCGGCUUCGACUUGCAUCAAAGACGGUAAUUCGAGUCAGUUUACAUGCAGAAAAAACAAAAGAUAUUCUCAUAUUAGUAAGGCUGAAAAUGGAACUCAUUACACUAUUGCACUUCAAACCAAUGAGACUUCAAAUAAACAGCAAGUCAAGCAAAUUGUCGAGCUUAAGGUUCAUCAAUGGAAGAAAGGAACACAGCUACAAAAUCAUGGCUGCUUCCAUUGACAAAUUCCAACUACAAGAAGUUUCAGACCAAAGUAAUGAACUGAAACAAGGCAACAUGACACGAAAAAAAUCCAAAUCUUAACGCGCCAAAAGCAAUUCCUUUGGUCUCCACGGGCCACUUAGCAAAUCCUACAAAAUACGAAUGCUGCAGCCUAUGCUAACUCACUUCUAUGUUUUUUUUCCUGAAAUCUUAAGUUUUUCUUUGUAAAGCUUCAAGAGCUCGGGUGCUUUGUUAACGAAACGGUCAAUAUACAUUCUAAUGAACACCUUUUCCGAUGCGUCAAACAAUACAGACAAUUUAAAUUCAUUAACCAAACCUUGUGAUAUCAAUUCUCGAGCAAACAAUGCCCUCGGCAUAAUCCUCUUCUCUAAGCUCCGUGUUAAGAAACUCGGUUGUUUGGCAAUGCGAGUCAAACUGUAGCCCAUUUUAUUCACCAGAAAAUCCAUUGUAGACAUGAUCUUAUCCUCUGAAACCGUCAUACACAUUGGAUACCUCCGGAAAGCUUCGUUAAUCGCUUGGUCAGACCAACCCCAUCUCCUAUAAACAUCAAUCUUCUUCUCUAAUGUGGAUUUUCUCAUUGAUCUGAAAGCGUAAACCGCAACAAGAAACUUCUUCCUCGAAGAAUCAAUCCCCAUUCUUUUGACUUCCUCAACAAUCUCCUCAAGUCGAACCGGAUUAAACAUCAGUGUUCUAGGCUUACGAUGAAGCUGCAAAAGAAUAUUCGAUUCGGGGACUCCGAUUCCUCUCAAAAUAUUCAUAUUCGGAAGCAAACUCUUCUCAAAAUCGGAUACAAGAAUACCAGCAUAUCGUUUUAUAGACUUAAUAGCCUUAUCAUCAGAUUGAAACAAAUUCCUCAGUAAAUUAAAUGAAGGGAUAAUUCGUUUCUCUAAACUAAAUCUCAACAAUGUAGGAUAAUCACUCAAGAGCUUAGCAAGCUCAGGCCUUGAAAAACCUACAGAGUAAAGAAACUCUAAUUUGGGCAAAAGGGUUUUCUCAGUAUCAGAAAGAAGCAAAGUCGGCUGUCUUUUGAUGAGAUUUACGAUUUGGGUUUGUGAAAACGCAUGAUUUUCCAGGAAAACAAUCAGAGAAUCAGGCUUUUCAGGGGUUUCAAAAUGAACAAAAUUUGAAACCCGAGAAGCCAAUUCUGGGGAGAAUCCACAUUUUCUUGUAAGGUAUGAAACCGUAAAUGAGUGUCCAUUUGAGCUAUUGGAGAAUAAUCUAAGACCAAUUGAUCGUUUAAAGAUGAAAAGAUCGGAACUUUGAGAGGCUGCAAUGGUUUGCUUCCCAUGAAGAAAACUAGUUCUAAAGAUGAAAUAAAACAUAGGAAUAAGAGCCCACUCACUAACCUCUUGAUUUGCCCUAAAGAUAGAAUCGGAUUUUCUAGCGGAAAAUGAGUGAACUGAAGCUCUGUGCCAGCGCCGGUAAAACAUUUAAACACCCCCCCCCCCUCCGAAAUGGGUAUUUUCCUGUAUGCAGGCGGGGGCGACCUUGUUCGGGUGGUUCAAUGUCAAAGGCUUAAAGCCCAACUUGCUUUAUGCUCGAUCAAGAGCCUGUUUAGUAGUGCUUAAAAAUAGUACUUUUGAUUCUAAAAAUAUUUUUAAAAGAAAAAUUAUGUUAAAUAAAUUGUUUUUAGUUAAAAUUUUUACUUUUCAGAAGUAUUUUUCAAAAAAAGAAAAGUUAAAGCUUUUAGCUUUUUCUCUGUUAAAAAUAUUUUUGGUAAUUAAUUAUUUUUUCACUUCUUCAAUAACAUAAUAUUUUCUUCUUCUUUUUCUUAGUUAUUAAUUAUAAAUGUGUUAAAAUCAUUAAUUAAAAAUAAAAAAUUAUUUUUUAAAAUGCAAAUUACAAAUAUUUAAUGGUUAUAUUUAAAUAUUUAAAAUAUAAUUUAUAUAUUCUAAUUAAAUUUUAUAAAUAAUUAAUAUUUAUUGCUUAAAAAUAUUUAAAAUUUAUAUUUCAUAUAUUAAAAUAUGAACAACUUAUAAUAAAUUUUUUUAUAUUCUUACAAAAAUAUAAUAAUAUUAACUAAUUUAAAUAUUAUUUAAAUACAUAUUUGUUACUUGAUAAUAACAUGUUUAAAUUUGACAUUUUAUUUUUCAAAAACACUUCUCAAAAGAAUUUUUUCACGCCACUUUUCAAAUUUAACAUUUUAUUUCUCAAAAGCACUUUUCAAAAACAUUACCAAACUAGCCCUAAGUAAUAUAUGUUGUAUAUAGAAGAUUAAUUUCAUCAUACGUCCCCAAAUCAUCGCCCAUACUUUUAAUUGGGUCCAUUAGGAUUAAAAUAUUUUAAUUGAGCCCUUAAAGUAUCGACAUUGAAUCAAACAAUUCUUUUUGUUAGUGUCAUCAUUAAAUUGAGCAUUAAAUGCUAACUCAAAUUUAACGUGGAGGAUAUAUAAAACACAAAACUCAAAUUACAAAUACGUGUAUACUUGUCACAAAUGUAACACCCCCUACCCGUAUCCGUCGUCGGAAUAGGAUACGAGGUAUUACCAAAUUUUACUGAAUAAUUUUUUUUUAAAAACUCAAUAUAACCCCUUUAUAAAUGUCUAAUCUUCCCUGCAAAUUUUAAACCGAGACCAAUCCAACACAACUAAUCUAUUUCAAUAUAUUUUCAAGAUAGAUUUAUCGUAUUCAUAAGAUAAUCUCAUCACAUACCAAAACCAAAUUUUGUUAGCCAUACCAAUGGCUAACCAUACAUUCAUUUCAUAUUAGCAUCUACUUUACUAGCUUAUACAUGCCAUUGAUUUCCAAAAUAAAGUUUCUUUAUGUACCGAGAUCUUGAGGUUGAUAGUGUGAUGCGUCUCCGACCAAAUCUGACCUCCGAGCUCUUAACACUACAAAAUAGGGGAAAAGGAAACAGGAUAAGCACUUUGUGCUUAGUAAGUUCAUGCAACAGGAAUUAUACUUACCAUACUUAUACAUCCAUCAUUUAAUAACACAAGCACACAUCCGAUUCACAUAAACAUAUACCUAUCACAUACAAACUCAACUUUUGCAUUAGUUAAGUAACAUCAUACAAAUUCAUUACAAAGAUAAAUGAUUGAUGAGCUCAUCAAUUCCAUAUUUUUCAUUCCCUUGUUAUUUUUUCAAAUUUAUCCCGUUGAACUACUUGGAAUUUCGAUGGAUUUUCAGGGGUACACCUAAGUGUACAAAUUCGGGUCCGUCAAUUCAUAUUCAUGUGCACACAUUUCCAUUUCAGAGAGCACACUCCCGCGAACCUCAUCCUUACAGCAGGAUUACCGGUUUAGGCUAAAUCUCCUGUAAUAUAAACUCAUAAAGUAUUGUCGGGAUUACCAGUCCAGACUAAAUCCCCUGCAACGACAAUUACUCUAAUGAGCUUGGAUCUGAAUUACCAGUCCAGGCUAAAUUCAGACCCUAAUUCGGAUCACCCGUUCAGGCUAAAUCCAUUUUCCACAUAUUCUUCGGGAGUACUAUAUCAGGAUAGGAUCACCCGUCCGGGCUAGAUCCCUUUUACCGUCAAUUCCUUUUCAGAGAUCCAUCGAAUUUUCCUUCCAUUCAACCGGGAUUUAUUUUCUCUUUUCAUCAAGAAUAUCAAUACUUCAUCAAUUAUCAUACAAUAAACAUCCAACUCAUAUUCACAUCAAUAACAAACAUUUCAAGCAUUUAAGAAUAUAAUUCAAGUUACACGAACUUACCUCGACAAUUGUUCGUAAACAAAAAUCUACUAAUCCCGAACUUUUUAUUUUCCUCGAUCUUGCUUCGUAUUUGAAUUUUCCAGAUCUAAAUAAACAAAUUUAAUCAUUAAUCUAAUACAUUUCAUGUUCAUAUGUAACAUUCUCUAUAAUUCCAUUAUUAUUUAUAGUACAUUCAAAGCUGUCCCACUGAGUCACAGUCACUAAAUUAUUUAUAUCUUGAGCUACGGAACUCAAAAUUAAGAUCCGUUAAUUUUCCCUGAAACUAGACUCACAUAUCUUCUUACCAUAGAAUUUUCAAAAUUUUUGGUUUAGCCAAUAAUUACAGUUUAUUCUUUAAAGUUUCCCCUGUUUCACUGUUUGACAGUUCCGACCCCUAUUCACUAAAAAUUAAUUAUCUCACUGUACAGAAUUAGGAUGAUGCUUCCCUUUAUUUCUUCUGACAAUAGACUCCUUAAGGAUUCUAACCAUAUAAAUUAUAACUCAUAAUCAUUUUUGUAAAAUUUUUAAUGAUUUUCCAAAGUCAGAACAGGGGAACCCGAAUUCAUUCUGACCUUGUCUUGAAAAAUUUAUUAUAUCUUAUGAUUUACAAUUCCAUUGAUUAAACCGUUUCUUCUAUGAGAAACUAGACUAAAUAAGCUUUAAUUUCAUAUUUUAUUCAUCCUCUAAUUCAAUCUCUAAAAUUUUUGGUGAUUUUUCAAAGUUAGACUACUGCUGCUGUCCAAAACUGUUUUAGUGUUUGAUGUUAAUUACCAUUUUUCCCUAAACUUUCAAUAAAUGAUAAUUUCAUCCCUGCUCAAUUAACUUCUAAAUUGAGCUGAUUUUUCUCAAUUAACACUUUAUUCUAUCACUUUAAACUACCUUAUAACCUUUGGAAAUCAUAAUUCCAAACUUUUUCACAAUUUCUAUUGAAAUUACCUAAUAAAAUCAUCUCAUAAACAAAUUAAAGCUUCAAUUUCAUCCUAUUUUAUCAUAAAAUUCCAGCACAUAUUCAUAGAAACUUUCAAAUUCAUUCAUAAAAUCAAAAACUAAUGAAUUUAGUAAUAGGACCUAGUUGUAAAAGCCUUAGAAACACAAAAAUUACAAGAAAAAGGCAAGAAUUAACUCACUUGGUGCAAAAAUUAUGAAAAACGAGCUUGAAUAAACCCUUAGGACGUUUUUGGCUGAUGAGAAUGCAGAAAAUAUGGAGAGAAUUCUAGAUAUUUCACUUUAGUCCUAACUUUUAAAGCAAAUUUUGCAAUAUUCCAAUUUUACCCUUAAUUCUUCAAUUCUCCUGAUUUUUCUCGGCUUAUGCCGCCCAAAAUAUCUCCUUUUCGGGUUAUUUUCAAUUUAUGUCCCUCCUCAUUUCACAAUUGAGCUAUUUAAUCAUUCAAAUAACUUUUACAUAUUUUCCAAUUUAGUCCUUUUCACUUAAUUGACUACCCAAACAUUAAAAUUUUCUAAUGAAAUUUUAAUACCAUAUUACUAACACUUCAUAAAUAUUUAUAAAAAUAUUUUUGACUCGUUUUUACGAGAUCGAGGUCUCGAUACCUUAUUUUUACCUAAUUUCUUCAAUAAUUUCUUUUUUCUAACUAACCACUAAAUCGGUAAACUUCUUCUAUCUAUAUUUUCAUACGAUUUUCCUAUCAUAUCAAUUUUCAUGCAAAAAUAUUAAAAUAAAUUUCUCUUUAAAUUGAAUUUGUGGUUACGAAACCACUAUUCCGAUAACCUUGAAUUUGGGCCAUUACAAUAACAAUUGUUUGGACCUGACAUAUUGAAGAAAUAACCCUCGUAAAUUUUAGUGAUAGUGACUUUUUUUAACAUGUUAGAUUUAAACUGUUUACAUGAUUCUCACGCAUGUGUUUUAAGAAAACAAACUCUACGUCUAAUCCAAACUAGCAUUUGAAGCCUAAGGACCAAUUAAAAUCUUGAUGAUAAUUUGAGGGCCUUUGAUGGAAUUAACCCUACAUAUAAUCUAAACAGUACCCAAAAAUAGGGAUAAGUCUCAAGACUAUAAAUGAAUUUGGCAUAAUAAUUCACUUUGCACUCCAACUUUACAUAAAAAAACAUUUUAACAUUUUAUCUAAUUUUUCGUCUCUUUUAUCACAAACAAUUUUGCCGACGUGACAUUGACAUUCACAUAAUAGUGUACAUGUAUGUCAAAUUAACAAUUAAUUAUUUUUUUAAAUAAUAAAAAAUAUUAAAAGAUUAUCACAAAUAUUUAAUGAUAAAAAUUAUAAUAUUAUUCUAUAACUUACAAAAUUUAAAAAAAAUUUAAUUAAUUAUUGACUUAAUAUAUACGUAGAAUGCCACAUCAACAAAGUUAACGUUGGUUAACUUUUCCAUCAAUUACAAAGUGUUUUGACAAAAAACACCAUUAGUUUAAAAGUUAAAAAGAGGCAAAAUUUUAAUUAAAAGGCUGACUUUUUUAUAAAGUUGAAGGAUUAAAUAAGUUAUUAUACUGACAAACUUUUAUCAAAUAUGCAAUUAUUUAUACCCAACGAAACUUUGAUUUUGGCUUUUAUAUAUAUAUAUAUAUAUAUAUAUAUAUAUAUAUAAAACUUUGGUUUUAAUUCAAUUGUAUACAUUUAAAGAAAUAAAUUUAUCAAUUUAUUUUUAUAUCGAAUAAAUGUAACAGAAAAGAAUCCACUUACAUCGAUGUAAAACUUAAAUAAUUUUACAUCAUUCCAUAACUUUAUAUACAAUUAAUACUUUAUCAAUCCAACAUCAUAAGUUAGAGUCAUCCAUAUGAAAAGUAUUUCAUUGAUUCAUAUUGGACGCCAUCUCGUAAAGGUGAUUGUAUGAACCAGCAAAACUAAGCUUCGGCUUCGACUUGCAUCAAAGACAGUAAUUCGAGUCAGUUUACAUGCCGAAAAAACAAAAGAUAUUAGUAAGGCUGAA
rnacentral:lncRNA from 1 species